AGCAGCCGCGGUAAUUCCAGCUCCAAUAGCGUAUAUUAAAGUUGUUGCAGUUAAAAAACUCGUAGUUGAAUUUCGGGGUCAAUACGUCGGUCGUGCCUCCGGUAUGUACUGGUGUUAUUGAUCUCUCCCUUCUGAUAAACCAUGAUGUCAUUAAUUUGGUGUCGUGGGGAGUCAGGACUGUUACUUUGAAAAAUUGAGUGUUUAAAGCAGGCUCACGCUUGAAUACAUUAGCAUGGAAUAAUGAAAUAGGACGUUCGAUCCUAUUUUGUUGGUUUCUAGGAUCAACGUAAUGAUUAGUAGGGAUAGUUGGGGGCAUUAGUAUUCAAUUGUCAGAGGUGAAAUUCUUGGAUUUAUUGAAGACUAACUACUGCGAAAGCAUUUGCCAAGGAUGUUUUCAUUAAUCAAGA
rnacentral:rRNA from 1 species